rnacentral:rRNA from 1 species
CACUGACGAGUUUGAUCAUGGCUCAGAGUGAACGCUGGCGGCAUGCCUAACACAUGCAAGUCGAACGGCAGCACAGCAGUAGCAAUACGUGUGGGUGGCGAGUGGCGGACGGGUGAGGAACACAUCGGAAUUUGCCCAGUCGUGGGGGAUAACGUAGGGAAACGUACGCUAAUACCGCAUGCACCCUAAGGGGGGAAAGCCGGGGACCGCAAGGCCUGGCGCCAAAGGAUUGGCCCGCGUCCGAUUAGCUAGUUGGUGAGGUAACGGCUCACCAAGGCUACGAUCGGUAGCUGGUCUGAGAGGAUGAUCAGCCACAUUGGGACUGAGACACGGCCCAAACUCCUACGGGAGGCAGCAGUGGGGAAUAUUGGACAAUGGGCGCAAGCCUGAUCCAGCCAUGCCGCGUGAGUGAUGAAGGCCUUAGGGUUGUAAAGCUCUUUUGUCCGGGAAGAUAAUGACUGUACCGGAAGAAUAAGCCCCGGCUAACUUCGUG